GACGAACGCUGGCGGCGUGCCUAAUACAUGCAAGUAGAACGCUGAAGAGAGGAGCUUGCCCUUCUUGGAUGAGUUGCGAACGGGUGAGUAACGCGUAGGUAACCUGCCUGGUAGCGGGGGAUAACUAUUGGGAACGAUAGCUAAUACCGCAUAAAAUGGAUUAUCGCAUGAUAAUCCAUUGAAAGGUGCAAAUGCAUCACUACCAGAUGGACCUGCGUUGUAUUAGCUAGUUGGUGGGGUAACGGCUCACCAAGGCGACGAUACAUAGCCGACCUGAGAGGGUGAUCGGCCACACUGGGACUGAGACACGGCCCAGACUCCUACGGGAGGCAGCAGUAGGGAAUCUUCGGCAAUGGACGGAAGUCUGACCGAGCAACGCCGCGUGAGUGAAGAAGGUUUUCGGAUCGUAAAGCUCUGUUGUAAGAGAAGAACGAGUGUGAGAGUGGAAAGUUCACACUGUGACGGUAUCUUACCAGAAAGG
rnacentral:rRNA from 1 species